rnacentral:rRNA from 1 species
AAUUGGAGGGCAAGUCUGGUGCCAGCAGCCGCGGUAAUUCCAGCUCCAAUAGCGUAUAUUAAAGUUGUUGCAGUUAAAAAGCUCGUAGUUGAAUUUCGGGGUUAGUAGGUUGGUCAUGCCUCUGGUAUGUACUGGUCUCACUGAUUCCUCCUUCCUUAUGAACCGUAAUGCCAUUAAUUUGGUGUUGCGGGGAAUUUGGACUGUUACUUUGAAAAAAUUAGAGUGUUUAAAGCAAGCUAACGCUUGAAUACAUUAGCAUGGAAUAAUGAAAUAGGACGUUCGAUCUUAUUUUGUUGGUUUCUAGGAUUGACGUAAUGAUUAAUAGGGAUAGUUGGGGGCAUUAGUAUUCAAUUGUCAGAGGUGAAAUUCUUGGAUUUAUUGAAGACUAACUACUGCGAAAGCAUUUGCCAAGGAUGUUUUCAUUAAUCAAGAACGAAAGUUAGGGGAUCGAAGACGAUCAGAUACCGUCGUAGUCUUAACCAUAAACUAUGCCGACUAGGGAUCGGAUGAUGUUAAUUUUUUAAUGACUCAUUCGGCGCCUUACGGGAAACCAAAGUGU